rnacentral:rRNA from 1 species
UACGCUGGCGGCGUGCCUAAUACAUGCAAGUCGAGCGGACAGAUGGGAGCUUGCUCCCUGAUGUUAGCGGCGGACGGGUGAGUAACACGUGGGUAACCUGCCUGUAAGACUGGGAUAACUCCGGGAAACCGGGGCUAAUACCGGAUGGUUGUUUGAACCGCAUGGUUCAGACAUAAAAGGUGGCUUCGGCUACCACUUACAGAUGGACCCGCGGCGCAUUAGCUAGUUGGUGAGGUAACGGCUCACCAAGGCAACGAUGCGUAGCCGACCUGAGAGGGUGAUCGGCCACACUGGGACUGAGACACGGCCCAGACUCCUACGGGAGGCAGCAGUAGGGAAUCUUCCGCAAUGGACGAAAGUCUGACGGAGCAACGCCGCGUGAGUGAUGAAGGUUUUCGGAUCGUAAAGCUCUGUUGUUAGGGAAGAACAAGUGCCGUUCAAAUAGGGCGGCACCUUGACGGUACCUAACCAGAAAGCCACGGCUAACUACGUGCCAGCAGCCGCGGUAAUACGUAGGUGGCAAGCGUUGUCCGGAAUUAUUGGGCGUAAGGGCUCGCAGG